UACGGAAGGCAGCAGUGGGGAAUAUUGCACAAUGGGCGCAAGCCUGAUGCAGCCAUGCCGCGUGUAUGAAGAAGGCCUUCGGGUUGUAAAGUACUUUCAGUCGUGAGGAAGGUGUUAAGGUUAAUAACCUUAGCAAUUGACGUUAGCGACAGAAGAAGCACCGGCUAACUCCGUGCCAGCAGCCGCGGUAAUACGGAGGGUGCGAGCGUUAAUCGGAAUUACUGGGCGUAAAGGGCACGCAGGCGGUUAAUUAAGUUGGAUGUGAAAUCCCCGGGCUUAACCUGGGAAUGGCAUUCAAGCUGGUUAGCUAGAGUCUUGUAGAGGGGGUAGAAUUCCAUGUGUAGCGGUGAAAUGCGUAGAGAUGUGGAGGAAUACCGGUGGCGAAGGCGGCCCCUGGACAAAGGACUGACGCUCAUGUGCGAAAGCGUGGGGAGCAAAC
rnacentral:rRNA from 1 species